AUCCGGAGAGAUCUGUGCCAUGCCUCUCAACCCGGAACACCCCAAACGAUCUUAGGCCCUCUUCACUACCGGCGGCCACGUGUUUAGGCUCUCCUGAUGACGACUCCGGCACCUGUUCGGUAAGGUGCCAAUCUAGCACGUCGGAGCAAAAGCUUCUCAAGUCGUGGAACUCGAUCCAUAUGUCACUCGACAGGCAGAUCGGCUCAGUGGCUGAAGCGUGUUCUGGCAAUGGCGUGAAUCGCAGGGGUGUGCCGAGGAGAGUCUCGCUGCGCUCCUGGACCACAAAAUGUAGGCACCGUAGACCGGUUGGGACGGCUUUGAGGCCGCCACCGCUCGCAGGUUUUGCUGGGAGCAUGUAGUAAUUUGACUUGCUAUUUAGCACGUUGCCUUCUGUGUCAUAGACUAGUUGGGUGGUGUUGUUAGCAGAGCAAGUGUUGAUGGGGAGGAGGAGGAGGAAGAAGAAGAUGGUUUUCAUGCCAGUCGAUCUAAACGUUUGACAACAAUUGUUUUUCAGUCUAUGUUAUUUCUUGAGGAUCUGAGUUGGCUUGGGUUUAUAUAGACAGUAUGCAGCCACCAUUUAUGGGCCAUGUUGAUUCGGAUGAUUCCCGUAAUUUCAGCCAUUAAAAUCAUACCUUUUAUGCAGCCUUUUUGAAGGGCACAUUUAUAUGGAGUUAACUUUGGACAAAUAUUACUGUAAUACAUAUUGUCUUGUAAAUAUGAUAAGGGAACCGCUUCGAUAUGUUGUGUUUUUUUACAUAGCUUACCAUAUAUGUCAUGUGGUGUAUUGGACGCUUCCCAUCUGACCACAUCUACGCCAUACGAUGGCUAAGCAUGACACCGACCGGAUCAACACAGUGCGGAGAGGGCCAAGGAUAAUGGCGGCCACGUGGAUUGUAUUAGUGUAUGCAUGUAUUAAUGUAUACACUAUGUGGUAUUUACCAAGGUAAUUAGUGGGAGAGAGAAGCCUUCACACAAUCAACUGCGUACGUGCACAAAUCAUGGUGGAGCAAAUUCUUCUUUGGAACAGCGGGCAGACGCUUCGACCUAGAGGAGCAAAAAAUGUACGAUUUUGCAAAAAAAAAUCUUAACAAGCUCUCUCUCAAAUGAAGGUAUGACCAAUUAAAGAUACUCAGUAUUUUGUUUCUCGCUAAAAUACGGUAAUUGCCUUUGGCUCCUAGGUGCAUAUGCACCCAUUAUCGAAAUACACAUUUUGAAAAGUUGAAAAAUUCGGAACAAAAAUCCCGCAUGUAUAUCCAGACAUUUUAUGUGCGUGCACAAGGUUUCAAUGAAAAACGACAUUUUUUGUGGCUUGUAUAAACAAAUUUUGAUGCUUCAUUCUAACUAUUCACUAGGCAUUUCUUUAUCUUUUUUACACAAGCCAUAAAAACGUCGUUUUUCACCGAAACCUUGUGAAUGCACAUAAAAUGUCCGGAUAUAUACGUGGGAUUUUUGUUUCGAAUUUUUCAACUUUUCAAAAUAUGUAUUUCAACAAUGUGUGCAUAUACACCUAGAAGCCAAAACGCCGCUCUCGCUAAAAUAAUAUUUUGUUCCCAAUAGGGAGGGCCCUUAUUUCAUAACAUAAACGUUAGUGUACUGCGUACCAAUCGUGAGGAUCUUGCUUCCUAAAUUUUGGUUUGCUUCCUACAUAAUCUUUUUGCUUUGGACCCUAAAAGGAUCUUUGUUUGUUUUCGGUUAAAUUAUUUCAGUUUUGCUAAAGCACAUCUAGAUGUGCCAUAAGUAUUGCACAUCUAAGUCCUAUGUCAUUGAUCUUAAAUUGAGAUUUGUGUAAUUUUUUUUUCCUUUUUAUGCUUGAUUCACUCACUUAGAUGUGCAAUAAGUAUAGCACAUCUAGAUGUGCCCUAGACACAUCCAUAUUAUUUCCAUGCCAACUAAAAAUUGUUUUCAUACGGUCAGAGUUUGCUUGUAUGGAUCAGACUGGGGAGUCCGUUUGCAUGGAAACCGGAGAUUGCUUCUGUCUUGUUAUAUUUUGGUCUUCUAGUUAGAAUAUGUGUCCCCCGCAAAUAAAAGUUAGUUGGCAUUGACCGUUCAAAAAGUAUACAAUUAAAUAUGACCAUUUUCAAACAAAAAAAGUAGAAGUUGCAUCCGGUAUAUUUUAUUCACGUAGACAAAAUAUGUUUCAUACGACCAGAAAUAUUGUCUUGACUAUAUCUAAAAAGUGCUUCAGAAAAAUAGUUUCAUCAAGCAUUGCUUAGAAAAUAUUAGAACUUGUUUUUAGACAAACAAGGAGGAGCUCCCCGGCUCCAUUUAAAAAAUGAAGGGACCGCCUAGAACUCAGCUGACUGAGACAAGUUUGGUCUCAGUCAGGUAUGUCAUCUGAUGUGGUGCCUUUUUUUCGUGCCAAUCUUGGACUUUUUUUAGGUGAACUAGGGAUUAAUUCAAAGUUCAAAACCGAAGAAAUACAAUCAAUGUCAGUUGGGAUCCCUAACCACAAAUACCGACCUACAGGGAGGGAUGAAGUUGCCUUAGCUAAGAGCAACUCUAGCAGACCCCGCAUCCGGCACGAACGUUAACCCACAUAAUUCCGGCGAUUAUAUGGGCUCGGCCCAUUAUUCUGACCAGACCAGAGCCCGUAUCGGUGUCCGGCCCGUAAACAUUUUUGCCGUAACCCGCAAACGCUACCCCCGAGCCAGUAUUGAUGGAGUCGUGUACCUAGGGUAGGGUCAUGGACCUGUCCAAGGUACCCUCCCCAAGGACAUCUUCAGAUGAUGCCGUCUUCCAGUCGACCUAGAGGGACUCCACUCGACUGACUGGAAGACACUCGACGUACUUGAAGACACUCGACCAUGAAGACUUACUCGACCACCAGGACUUCAAGAUCUACUCUGUAUCCAAACGGUCUGUAAUUAAGUAGGCUUUAUGGUCAUGAUGACACUUUAUGUAGGGCGUUACCUGUAACGCCAGGCCUUAAUGUACUUUAAACCCUCCGCUACGUGGGCUGGCUGGGGUCUUGGCAUCCUCUAUAUAAGCCACCCCCCUCCACUGGCAGAAGGGUUCGCAGCCCUGUAACUCUCACACAUAUAAUCCAGUCGACCGCCUCCGGGCACCGAGACGUAGGGCGGUUACUUCUUCCGAGAAGGGCCUGAACUCGUAAAACUCUUGUGUGCACAACUACUCCAUAGCUAGGAUCUUGCCUCUCCUCAGUACACCCCUACAUUACUGUCAGACUUAGAACCACGACAGUUCGCGCCCACCUUGGGGCAGGUGUCUUAGCGACUUAUUGGAGAAGUUGCAAUUUUUCCGAUUCCCAUCAUCAUGGUUACAGGCGGAGUUUUGGUUGAGGGCCGCGAGAUCCGUCUCGGCGCGCUCACGUUCGUCGCCGACGACUCUGCCUGGCUGCAGGAGGCUCCGCUCGACGUCGACGCGCUCCCAGUCCGCGGGGCUACGCACUUUCGAGCAUGCGUCCACGGCGUCCUUCUGCGGCAACCAUCGACCCAGUAUAUGCCGGUUUCCGUGUCAUCCUCCCUCCCCGCUUCCCGCCGGCGCAAGCGCUCCGGUCGGUCGAGGCUUCAGCGGUGGGUGAGGCACGCGGUGGCUCGCCAGUCGACCACCGCCGAAGUCGCGGCAAUCGAGUCCGAUGAAUCUCUCUACGGCCUGUUCGACCUGUCGACUGGCUCCGCAGAGACUGCAUCCGAGUGCGACAGCAGUGAUCCAGCGGCGGAGGUCCUGAUGGUCAAUGGACCGCACAUUCCCCCCGGCUUUCCCGGUGCCGAGGGAGGCAACGGCGGAGGCGAUCCGUCGCACGCCCAUGAGGAAUAUCUCCCCGAGCCCCUCAAUUCGCAGCAGAGGGAAGAGCUUCGCCGCCGGAACAUGGAUGCGCUUCACACUCCGAGCGUUGGAGAAACCCUUGAGGCUCGCACCUUGGAGGACGCGCGCUUGGCCAACCUGACCGAGCGCACUCGACUGGAGAACCUUCAACGGGCACUCGACGAGCGCGCGCGGCAACGGAUUCCAGACUCCAGUCGACGCCAGCUCUUUCCACCUCCGACUCAGGUAUAUCGAACUCCGAUUCAGAAUUGAGCAGCUGCAGCCCGUAUAGCAGAAUCAAUUCAGCCUUCCCAGUCAGAGGCUGGCAGAGGCUUGAUGCAGAUCAGAGAUUUGCUCCGAGAAGCAGGAGAUCAGAACUCAGCUGUGUCGCAGUCGCGGAACAGGAUUCAUAGCAAGUCCGUGGCUGCAAAUACGGUCCAGUCGGCUCAUAGCCCCAGAUCGCCCCCGAGGCGUGAAGGGCGUGGUGACCGGCAUGAUUAGUACAGGAACCAUGAGCAGUAUGAUCACCGAUUCGAUCGCAAUGGUCGACGUCGAGUGCCUACUCCCCCCCCCCCAAGGGGUGGGUCCUAUAUGCCUCGAUAGCAGGAUGAUAGACGCCAACACAGUGGUGGGCGAAGGAUUCCGGUCGACCCCAGGGAACCAGGCUUUGAUGCGAGAUCCAUCAUCGUUCAAGGUCUGGUUGACCGAAACAGAGCCCACAGAGAGGGUAACGACAGAGAUGUACCCACCAGCAGCCGAGUGCAUGUCUCCGGGCCAGAGUGUUUCAGUAGAGCCAUCAGAGCCGCGGUGAUUCCUCUCAACUUCAGGUUGGCGACUGGAGUCAGCAAGUUCAACGGUGAGUCUAAGCCCGAUACUUGGCUUGAGGACUACCGAGUGGUUGUUCAGAUCGGCGGCGGAAAUGACAAGGUGGCCAUGAAGCAUCUGCCUCUUAUGUUGGAAGGGUCAGCCAGAGCAUGGCUGAAUCAGUUGACACCCAACAGCAUUUACACGUGGGAGGACCUCUCCCGAGUGUUUGUCAGAACGUUCGAAGGAACAUGCAAGUGACUAGCAGGACUGACAAAGAUACAAUCUUGUGUGCAGAAGUCGAAUGAAACUUUGAGGGAUUACAUCCAGAGAUGGAUCACACUGCAUCACACAGUAGAGAAUGUAUCUGAUCACCAGGCAGUCUGCGCCUUCAAGGAGGGCGUAAAGUACAGAGAGCUAAGCCUGAAAUUCGGCCGAACCGGAGACAUGUCUUUGAGUCAAAUGAUGGAAAUAGCCACCAAAUAUGCCAAUGAUCAGGAAGAGGAUCGGCUCCAGAGUGGCAAGCACAAGUCAGUCGCCCAGGAAACAGGAGGAGGGAACUCAAGUCGGAAGCAGAAGCGGAAAGCCGAGCCAGCUGCUCCUGGAGAAGCCUUGGCCGUGACUCAAGGGAAGUUCAAAGGAAAGCCCAAGGGGCCUUAGAACCCCAAAAAAGUAAAGGAUAAAGAAGGAAACGACAUGAUGGAUUUACCGUGUCACAUCCACACGAAGAAAGAUGAGGAGGGUAACUUCAUUUACCCGAAGCAUACCACUCGGCAUUGUCGACUCCUGAUACAACAGUUUCAAGGGAAGCAGCACAAAGAUAAGGAAAAAGAGUCGGAUAAAGUCGAGGACAAGGAGGACAGUGACGAGGAAUAUCCGCAGGUCAAUUCCACCCUGAUGAUUUUUGCUGACGUUGAGAGCAAAAACCGACUGGAAGUUAUAAACCGAGAGGUGAAUAUGGCUGCUCCGGCAACACCCAAUUAUCUGCAGUGGUCCCAAACCGCCAUUACAUUCGACUAGUCUGAUCACCCAACGCACAUAGCCACCCCUGGGAGGCAAGCUCUGGUGGUCGACCCAGUCGUUGAGGGCACUCGAUUGACUAAAGUAUUGAUGGAUGGCGGCAGUAGUUUGAAUAUACUGUAUGCUGAGACGCUGCAAGGGAUGAGCAUUCUGAUGUCCAGACUCAGCACAAGCAACAUGAGUUUCUAUGGAGUCAUUCCUGGCAAGAAGGCCGCGUCACUCGGCCAGAUUGCUCUUGAUGUGGUUUUUGGUGAUUCCAAGAACUUCCGCAAAGAGAAGCUGACAUUUGAGGUUGUAGAUUUCCAGAGUGCCUAUCACACUAUUUUGGGCAGGCCGGCUUAUGCACGUUUUAUGGCUCGACCAUGUUACGUGUAUCUCAAAUUGAAGAUGCCAGGCCCCAAAGGCGUGAUCACUGUUACUGGUAAUCGCAAGAAGGCAGAAGAGUGCUUCCAGAAAGGCUCAAAGAUCGCUGAUGCUCAGAUGGUGGCAGGAGAGUGGCAGGAACACCAGAGGAAUGCAGACCCGAGUGAUUUGUUGCGAGCCAAGAAGCCUGCUACGGAAUCAGCGUUCCAGUCGUCCAGUGAGACAAAACCAGUUCAUAUCCACCCGACCGACCCCAACGCUGCUCCGACUCAUAUCUUCACAACACUCGACCCCAAAUAGAAAGAAGCACUCAUCCAGUUCCUCCGUGAGAACUGGGACAUCUUCGCAUGGAAACCUUCUGACAUGCCGGGUGUACCCAGGGGACUGGCUGAGCAUCGUCUGUGAGUCGAUUCAAAGGAAAAACCUGUGAAGGAACAUCUGUGACGGUCUUCCGUCCAGAAAAGGAAGGCUAUUGGCGAAGAGGUGGCUCGGCUCCUAGCAGCAGAGUUUAUCCGAGAGAUUUACCACUCCGAGUGGCUCGCCAAUGUCGUCAUGGUCCCCAAAAAGACAAUUCGCUUCGCAUGUGCAUUGAUUUUAAGCACAUCAAUCGGGCCUGCCCGAAAGAUCAUUUUCCUCUUCCCUGCAUCGACCAAAUAGUCGACUCGACUGCGGGAUGUGAGCGACUGUCUUUCUUAGACGCUUAUUCCGGGUACCAUCAGAUCCAUCUGUUUGGGCCCGAUGAAAUCAAAACAGCUUUCAUCACCCCAUUUGGGUGCUUCUGUUAUGUCACCAUGCCAUUCGGCCUCAAAAAUGCCGGAGCCACGUUCAUGAGGAUGAUUCAGAAGUGUUUGCUCACUCAAAUCAGUCAGAAUGUGGAAGCGUACAUGGAUGACAUUGUGGUCAAGUCACGGAAAGGUUCCGACCUGCUGACUGACCUUGCUGAAACAUUUGCCAACCUCAGGAGGUAUGAUAUCAAGCUUAACCCAUCCAAGUGCACAUUCGGAGUUCCUGGCGGAAAGUUACUCGGUUUUCUCAUUUCCGAACGAGGAAUCGAUGCAAACCCGGAGAAAGUGGGCACUAUACUCUGAAUGAAACGACCUGUGCGUGUGCACGAUGUUCAGAAGCUUACUGGUUGCUUGGCCGCUUUAAGUCGAUUCAUCUCUCGUCUCGGUGAGAAGGCAUUGCCUCUUUACCGACUGAUGAAUAAGUCAGACAAGUUCGAGUGUACUCCUGAAGCUAACGCAACGUUUGCAGAGUUAAAAACCCUGCUUUCCACCCAGCCGGUGCUUGCUGCCCCGAUCAGCAAAGAGCCUUUGCUGCUUUACAUUGCAGCCACAGGACAAGUUGUCAGUAUUGUACUUACGGUCGAGCGGGAAGAAGAAGGGAAAGCCUUCAAAGUUCAGCGCCCGGUAUAUUACAUUUCCGAAGUCCUGACCCCAUCAAAGCAACGAUACCCUCAUUAUAAGAAGCUUGUAUAUGGGAUUUAUAUGACCACGAAGAAAGUUGCUCAUUACUUCUCUGACCAUAUCAUCACAGUCGUCAGCGACGCCCCCUUAUCAGAGAUUCUGCACAACAGAGAUGCAACUGGCCGAGUGGCAAAAUGGGCGAUUGAACUUCUUCCCCUGGAUAUCAGAUUUGAGGCAAAGAAAGCUAUCAAGUCCCAAGCAAUAGCAGAUUUCCUCGCCGAGUGGACUGAACAGCAGUUACCGACUCAAGUUCACUCGGAGCACUGGACUAUGUUCUUCGAUGGCUCUAAAAUGCUGAAUGGUUCCGGUGCCGGGGUAGUGUUGGUUUCCCCCCGAGGAGAUAAGCUCAGAUAUGUACUCCAGAUUCACUUUGAUUCCUCCAACAAUGAAGCAGAGUACGAAGCACUCUUGUAUGGGUUGUGUAUGGCCAUUUCACUCGGCGUCCAUCGCCUCAUGGUCUACGGUGACUCGGAUUUAGUGGUCAACCAAGUGAUGAAGGAGUGGGACGUCAGAAGCCCAGCCAUGAUUGGUUACUGCAAUGCAGUCAGAAAGCUGGAGAAGAAAUUUGAGGGAUUAGAGCUCCAUCACGUCCCCCGAUUGAAAAAUCAAGCAGCCGAUGACUUGGCGAAGAUAGGUUCCAAAAGAGAAGCCAUCCCGAGUGGCGUGUCUUUGGAGCAUGUUCACACGCCGUCGGUUCAAGAAGAUCCAUUCACUGAAGAAGCCCCGCAGCCAAAAAGCGCCACAGAUCCGACUGAAGUCGAGAUCCCAGCUGUUGUCGACUUAAUCAUGGAAGUUCUGGUUAUCACUCCCGACUGGAUAGUGCCCUAUAUCGCGUAUAUUCUAAGGAAAGAGCUCCCAGAGAAUGAAGAGGAGAGGAGGCUCGAGAGAUUGUCCGUCGAUCCAAAGCCUUUACUGUCAUGAAGGGACAGUUGUACAGAGAAAGCACGACUGGAGUCAGCCAGAAAUGCAUAACACCAGAAGAGGGUCGAAUGAUUCUCAAUGACAUCCACUCGAGGACCUGUGGCCAUCAUGCGUCCUCUCGGACCAUCAUGGCUAAAGCAUACCGAGCGGGUUUUUACUGGCCCAGAGCAAAUGAAAUGGCGAAAGAAAUAGUCGGCAAGUGUGAAGGAUGUCAGUUUUACUCCAACAUGUCACACAAACCCUCCUCAUCCUUGAAGACCAUCCCGAUCAUCUGGCGUUUCGCUGUUUGGGGUUUAGAUAUGGUUGGACCGUUGAGAACUGGUAGGAGCGGCUUCACCCAUGUACUGGUGGCAGUCGACAAGUUCACCAAGUGGAUCGAAGCCAAGCCCAUUAAAAAUCUUCAUGCUGGCACUGCCAUCAGCUUCAUCAGAGAAUUAAUAUUCAGAUAUGGAGUUCCGCAUAGCAUCAUCAGUGAUAAUGGGUCAAACUUUGACUCCGAUCAAUUCAAAGCUUUCUGUGCUUCCCAAGGCACGCGAGUCGACUACGCUUCAGUCGCCCACCCCCAGUCGAAUGGACAAGCAGAAAGAGCAAACGGCCUAAUUCUCAAAGGACUAAAACCUCGAUUGAUGCGCGACCUCAAGCACACAGCAGGCGCGUGGGUCGACGAACUUCCAUCAGUUCUUUGGGGAUUGAGGACUACUCCAAAUCGGUCGACUGGGAGGACUCCGUUCUUUCUGGUCUACGGAGCUGAGGCAGUUCUACUGAGUGACCUGCUUCACAAUGCAUCGCGAGUCGAGCUCUACUCUGAAGCUGAAGCAGAACAAGCCCGGCAGGACGCAGUCGACCUUCUAGAAGAAGAAAGAGAGAUCGCCAUGAUCCGAUCGACCAUCUAUCAGCAAGACUUGCGUCAAUUCUACGCCAGAAAUGUUAAGAGUCGAGCCUUCCAAGAAGGAGACUUGGUCCUCCGAGUGGACCAACAGAAGCGACACAAACUCUCCCCUACUUGGGAAGGCCCCUUCAUUGUUACCAAGGUUCUCCACAACGAAGCAUACUGUCUUUACAACGUCGACCGCCAGAUUGACGAGCCACGAGCUUGGAAUGCGGAUCUGCUCCGCCCCUUUUAUACUUAAGUAUUCACUCGGAUGAGUUGUAAUAAAAGUACUUAUGUAGUUUAUUUAUCAAAGACAAGAGUUUCAUAAUUUUCCCAGUGAUUGUUAUUACUUUUGUUCACAUAAAUCAGUCCCCCAGUGGGUGGCUUAGCUGCGAAUCCGUUUCGCCUAAGUUUGUAAAAAAAUCCUACCGAGUGGUAAGCCAGCCUUCCACUCGAAGGCUUAGCUGCGAAUCCGUUUCGCCUAAGUUUAAACAAAAUCCUACCGAGUGGAAAGCCAGCCUUCCACUCGGAGGCUUAGCUGCAAUCCAAGUACUCGCCUAAGUUAAAACAAAAUCCUACCGAGUGGAGAGCAAACCUCCCACUCGGGGGCUUAGCUCCAACCCAGUGCUCGCCUAAGUUUUUGAAAACCCUACCGAGUGGUAAGUCAGCCUUCCACUCGGGGGCUUAGCUGCAACCUAGUGUUCGCCUAAGUAUAAAAGACAACGUGCGCUCCGCAAGGAGGACGAGGCGCAGGUCGACUCCUGCCUUCUCCUUCUGAGCUACGCCACAAAUACAAUGUGCGCUCCGCAAGGAGGACGAGGCGCAGGUCGACUCCUGCCUUCUCCUUCCGAGCUACGCCACAAAUACAACAUGCGCUCCGCAAGGAGGACGAGGAGCAGGUCGACUCCUGCCUUCUCCUUCCGAGCGACACCACAAAUACAACGUGCGUUCCGCAAGGAGGACGAAGUGCAGGUCGACUGCUACCUUCUCCUCCAAAGCUACGCCACGAAAAUCCUACCGAGUGGAGAGCAAACCUCCCACUCGGGGGCUUAGCUGCAGCCCAGUGCUCGCCUAAGUUUCUAAAAUCCUACCGAGUGGAGAGCAAACCUCCCACUCGGGGGCUUAGCUGCAGCUCAGUGCUCGCCUAAGUUUCUAAAAUCCUACCAAGUGGAGAGCAAACCUCCCACUCGGGGGCUUAGCUGCAGCCCAGUGCUCGCCUAAGUUUCUAAAAUCCUACCUAGUGGAGGGUAAACCUCCCACUCGGGGGCUUAGCUGCAGCCCAGUCCUCGGCUAAGUUUAUAAAAUCCUGNNNNNNNNNNNNNNNNNNNNNNNNNNNNNNNNNNNNNNNNNNNNNNNNNNNNNNNNNNNNNNNNNNNNNNNNNNNNNNNNNNNNNNNNNNNNNNNNNNNNNNNNNNNNNNNNNNNNNNNNNNNNNNNNNNNNNNNNNNNNNNNNNNNNNNNNNNNNNNNNNNNNNNNNNNNNNNNNNNNNNNNNNNNNNNNNNNNNNNNNNNNNNNNNNNNNNNNNNNNNNNNNNNNNNNNNNNNNNNNNNNNNNNNNNNNNNNNNNNNNNNNNNNNNNNNNNNNNNNNNNNNNNNNNNNNNNNNNNNNNNNNNNNNNNNNNNNNNNNNNNNNNNNNNNNNNNNNNNNNNNNNNNNNNNNNNNNNNNNNNNNNNNNNNNNNNNNNNNNNNNNNNNNNNNNGGGGGCUUAUCUGCAGCCCAGUGCUCGCCUAAGUUUCUAAAAUCCUACCUAGUGGAGGGUAAACCUCCCACUCGGGGGCUUAGCUGCAGCCCAGUCCUCGGCUAAGUUUAUAAAAUCCUGCCGAGUGGAGAGCAAACCUCCCACUCGGGGGCUUAGCUGCAGCCCAGUGCUCGCCUAAGUUUAUAAAAUCCUGCCGAGUGGAGAGCAAACCUCCCACUCGGGGGCUUAGCUGCAGCCCAGUGCUCGCCUAAGUUUCUAAAAUCCUACCGAGUGGAGGGUAAACCUCCCACUCGGGGGCUUAGCUGCAGCCCAGUGCUCGCCUAAGUUCCGAAAAUCCUGUCGAGUGGAGAACAAACCUCCCACUCGGAGGCUUAGCUGCAGCCCAGCACUCGCCUAAAACAUGACGAGUACAUGUUGAUUGCAAUUUGUGCUUCGUCCCUACCUGCAAAAGAGCAUCACAGACACUAGUAUAUAUUCCAACCCAAGGAUGAUGAUUGUUCGAAAGCAGAAGCAAACAUAUUCAACGGCAAACCAAGUUCGGAUAGCGUCCUACGGAUCCAGAAGCGCUCAGGCAUCAAGCCUGUUAAGGUUUAUCGGUUACAAAAAUCACUCGGCAUUCUGAGGCAAAUUCAAAGCGUCAAGCAUAGAAGUUUUUUACCCCUCCUGUGGAGGGCUGGAAGGCGCAACAAACUCGUCCAGGUCGAUUCCAUCUUUGAUCCGAGUGGCAGCGGCGAUGAAGGUCUCCAUGAAGGAUCGGAAGUCAUGCUUCUUGGUGUUGGCCACCUUGAGAGCUGCUAGCUUGUCCUCUCGCGCAUCCUUGCAGUGAACACGGACCAGAGAUAGAGCAACGUCGGCACCGCAUCUGGCAGAAGACUUCUUCCAUUUGUGCACUCGACUUGGAACUUCGUUCAGUCGAGUCAUCAAGGACUCAAGGUCGUUCUGAAGUGCUUCUCCUGGCCAGAGCGCCGUGUCGAUGUGUGACGUCACAACCUUCAGCCAUGCAAGAUAGUCAACAACAGCAGCAACGCGCGACUCGAGUCGGAGCAUGUUCAUGGCAGCUUCAUCCUUCACGGGAGAGUUGAUGGGGUCCAAGCCAGUCUCCACUCGACUAGUCUCUUCUUCAAAGUUUUGGCAGAAUUCUGUGGAUACGGUCCAAGGAUAAGCUAAUGUUCCCACAAAGUCAGUGAUUACCAGUCGGAUAUAAAGGGUUACCUUCGAGCAUGAGGAAUAACUUCCUGGCGAGCUCUCCCAGAUAAGCCUCCAGGUCAUUCUUCUUUCCCGCCAGUUCGCUGGCCUUGUCACUCAGGGCUAUCUUCUCACGCUUCUGUUGGGUGACCUCCUUGUUGGCCGCGUCGAGAGUAGCUUUCAGAGUGGCAUUCUCCUCUUCAAGUUUGCUGACCGAAGCCAACUUCUCUUCGACAAGUUUCGUCUUGUCCGAAGCCGUUUUCUACGCCUCGGCGAGGUCAAGGUCCUUCUUCUUCAGAGCAUCCCUCAUUAUCUGUAAAAUCACAAUAAGAUCAGACUCAGGGACAGACAAGAAGCAAUGACAGUCGUCAAGAUUCUCACCAAACAUACCUUUUGCCUCCUCCUUCGCCUUCGUGAAGUUCUCCUGGACAAGCUUCAGGUCAAGUUCGAGUUGAAUAUGCUUGUUCUCCAAUUCAGUAUAACGAGCUGCAAACUCACAAGAUCUCUGCAAAAAACCAAUCGACAGAUGUCAAAGAUAGGUCACUUCCGAGUGACUAAGAGAAAAAUCAUAGUAUUUCUAAGACUACAGCUGAAUCUAAACAUUUAACUGUAGUCUCGGGGACUACACCCAGUGGGUGCACUCAGCGUGCCCCCACUAGUUCUAUCAGCGUGCCCCCACUAGUUCUAUCAGCUAGACUCAGAGUCGGUCAGUCGACCAAAAAAGAGAAAGAGAGGAUGUGUUCUUCAGACCAUAGUCGACUGCCAGCAGUCGACCACGGUCUCGGGGACUACAUCCAGUGGGUGCACUCAGCGUGCCCCCACCGGUUUAUGAUUCCAUUCGACCAGAUCGAGUGACGACAGUAAUGAGAAAAAAGAAAAACUCAAGACAUAAAGACUAUGGUCCACUGCCAGCAGUCGACCAUAGCCUUGGGGACUACACCCAGUGGGUGCACUCAGCGUGCCCCCACCAAUCCAGAUUCUCAAUCGACACACCCAGUGGGUGUACGACAGAUACUAAGAUUUUCAGAAAGAAAAGUUUUCAGAUACCAUAUCCUAACAGAACAGGCAGUGAUCGGCCAACCUGAACAUUGCUCUGAAGGGCUGAACUGGCGUCAUAAGCUGCUUGGCUAGCGUCUCGGAUCGCCUUCACUUGCUCCAUCAUAACCCCCGCCUGGCGUAUGGCUUCUUUAGCAGCGCUUGUUUGGUCUUCAGGGACGUGGUGGGUAGAGAAAACUGAAGGCUGGCCAGCACCGGACGACGAAGGGCGAGCACUCGUCAGCGGCACCGCAAAGGAUACGGUAGGCCGAGUGACGUUGUCCCCCUCCGCAACUAACGUCUCAGGUGCUGAUACGACCUGAGCUGCCUUGCCAGCAGACGCUCUCCUAUUCCUCCUCUGCCUCAGUAGUUCCUCGUCUUCAUCAUCAUCAGGAAGAUCAAUGAUGAUAUUAGACGGAGCUGCAGAAAAGAGUCGAAGUUAAAGACGAAGAUCCCACCGACUGAAAAUGAAACUUCAAAGGUCAUACCAGGGUUGGAAGUGACGGCAUCCUCCAUUUCUUGAUCAUCAGGUCUGGCCGAGGUAUCAGAAGUAGCAGCACUGCAGUUUCAAAAAUCAGUAGAUCAACUAACGAAUCGACCAAGAAUAAAUCCAUGAGAAACAAGAGGACACAAGUUAUGUCAUUACCCAGAAAUAGUGGGAAUCACCAUCUUCAUCUUCGGCAAAGCCUUUGUCAGCCUCGACGGCACCACUCGAGAUUGCUUCGGCGCUUUCUCAGUCGGCGCCGGAGAGGUCGUCCGAGGACGCUUGGUCGACUGCACAACAGGCGCGGACCCCUUGCCGCGCUCGACCGCAGGGUCAUGGGAAAGCUUGGACCUUCUUUCAGAACGGGGAGGCACAACUUCCUCCUCCUCUUCCUCUUCCUCCUCCUCCUCAUUGGAGCCUGCAUCUUCAUCACCCUCAUCGCCACCCGAUUCCCACUCUUCCUGACUUUCACCUCCACUUCCUUCCUCCUCCUCGGUCUGUGCUUGCGCCCCGUUGGGCAUCGAAUACAACUCAGUGGUAGCCUGAAGGACAACAAACAAGACAAAAGUCGAUCGACUGAUCUGCAGCAAAACAGAAUGGACGAAACAUGAUUACAGUCGGAGAUAAGCGGUCAUACCUUGUCUGCCUCAUAAGAUUGGUCGAGUGGCGGGAUCCUCCUGGCCCCACAAGGAUUGUCCUUGUUCCCUGUGAUGGCAGUCAUCCACCUCUCCAGUGUGACAUCGUCGACCUCUUCUGGGUGGACCCGAGUGGUGUCUUCAGUACCAGAGUACAACCACAUCGGGUGGCCCUGGUACUGGAGUGGCUGGAUGCGCCGUCGAAGGAAAACCUCCAGAAGAUCCAUGCCGGUCACACCGUCGCAAAUGAGUUUGACUACCCGCUCCAUCAACAUUUUAACCUGAGCCUUCUCCUCCGGAACUACUUUCAGAGAAGACGGCUUGUUCACUUGACUCAUGGAGAAGGGAGGGACCCAGUCGACUGCCCUGGCGUCGACUGGUCUCGGUAGUACAACCAGGUCGACUGCCACCCUCUAACUGACUCGGGAAGGGUCAUAGCCGGAAAAGCACUCUUACUCCUCAUCUGGACCCCAAGACCCCCACACAUCUGGAUUACUUGGGUUCUAUUGUUGUUUGGAUUAGCCUUUUUCACCGUCUGAGAACGACAAGUGAAUAUGUGUUUGAAAAGGCCCCAGUGCGGCCGACAACCCAAGAAGUUUUCGCACAAAGACACGAAAGCGGCUAGAUAGGCAAUGGAAUUGGGUGUGAAGUGGUGGAGCUGAGCCCCGAAGAAGUUCAGAAACCCCUGAAAGAAAAUAUGCGGCGGCAGAGAAAACCCACGAUCGACAUGAGUCGCUAGGAGGACACACUCACCCUCCUAAAGCUGCGGCUGCCACUCCGUCCCCGGAAGCCUCGCUGCUCCGUGCUCAAUCAGCCCCUCGUUGGCCAGGUCGUCGAGAUCCUUCUGGUUGAUGGUCGAGCGGAUCCAAUCCCCUUGGAUCCAACCUUGUGGCAGGCGGGACCGCGACGAGGAUCCACCCCGACUGGUCGCUCUCCCCUUCGCCUUCGCCGUCGCCUUCUUCGCCCGCUCCAAAGCCGUCGUCUUCUCCUUCACCAUUGUCGCCGACGAGGCUGGUACGGAGCAACGGCGCUGAACAGAUGGAAAGUGUUGCGGAUGAAUCUGAAGACGGGGGAGGGGAAAUGAGGAAGCACUGUUCAAAAACCUCCGCCCGGUUCCUUAUAUGGAGUCGCUUCCGAGUGGCUGACUGGUGGACCCGGACAAUCAUGUCAAAUCCCGAAACAGUCGCGCGAGGGAUACGUGGCGAAAAAGGCGGUGCGAGAAUCGAGGCGUCUCUGUCUUAUCCCAUCCGAGUACCGCGUCCUUCUCCGCUUCGCGUGCUACCCGAAAUUCGGAUCCCACUAAAUCCGCUAACCGCAGGACAACUUGUCAGACGGAAGAUCUCCUGCGAUCCGUCGCUCGGAGAUCUCCAAGUAUAGAAAGAUCACUCGACCUACAUCCAGAAUGGAUCAAGGCGAUUGAAAAAGAAGUUGAUGCCGUCACCUACGGUCAUUUGAUCCAGAACAAGACGUGCUCAUAGCAUAGAAAGAGGAGUCGGAAGAAUUCUGAACUCCUUCCUCACUCAAACCUCGAUCCAUUCGGGGGCUAAUGAUGGAGUCGUGUACCUAGGGUAGGGUCAUGGACCUGUCCAAGGUACCCUCCCCAAGGACAUCUUCAGAUGAUGCCGUCUUCCAGUCGACCUAGAGGGACUCCACUCGACUGACUGGAAGACACUCGACGUACUUGAAGACACUCGACCAUGAAGACUCACUCGACCACCAGGACUUCAAGAUCUACUCUGUAUCCAAAUGGCCUGUAAUUAAGUAGUCUUUAUGGUCAUGAUGACAUUUUAUGUAGGGCGUUACAUGUAACGCCAGGCCUUAAUGUACUUUAAACCCUCCGCUACGUGGGCUGGCUGGGGUCUUGGCAUCCUCUAUAUAAGCCACCCCCCUCCACUGGCAGAAGGGUUCGCACCCAUGUAACUCUCACACAUAUAAUCCAGUCGACCGCCUCCGGGCACCGAGACGUAGGGCGGUUACUUCUUCCGAGAAGGGCCUGAACUCGUAAAACUCUUGUGUGCACAACUACUCCAUAGCUAGGAUCUUGCCUCUCCUUAGUACCCCCCUACAUUACUAUCAGACUUAGAACCACGACAAAUAUAACUGCGGGUUUGCGGGGCAGAUGCGGGUCAAAACCCUAUCCCCCCGCAGUCGCGUUUGCCCCCCAAUUCCCCAUCGCGUCGCUCGAUUUGUCGCCGCCGGCAAGCCUUCAACCGCCAUGGAUGACUUGGGGGAUGAGGCAGAGCGCCGCCGCCGCGCCAGAUCUGACGACGCGCACAAGCGGGGGGCACGUAGGUGGCUCAACCGCGGUACCCCGCCGCCAUCGGCCUUCAACCACCGCGAGCUCGAGGACUUCGAUCUCGAGCUCGCCCGUCGCCGCCACGCCUCCUAUGGCAACUGGUCCGCGGGGAGCUAAUUCGUCAACUGGUCCGCAGGGUGCUCAUCCGCGGGCGCAUUGAGCUCGCGGCUCGUUCCGGUGAAGAGGGAGCCGAAGGAGGCCGUGCCCGAUGCGCCGCCGCGCCGAGGCAUCAUCGGCCCCGAGGACUACCUCCCCCCGGGGCAGGAGGAGCUCCUCGAGCGCGUUGUCCUCAAGCGGUCGGCGAGGGAGCAAGAGAAGAUGGAAGAGCGCAUUCGGCGAGAGCUCGAGUACGAGCGACUCUUCUUCGAGACGGGCGUCACGCCAUCGUAGGCGCACGCAUCGAAGGAGGCUGACCUGCGCGUGAUGAAGGUGGAGCAGGCGAAGCUCUACAUCGACCUCGACUCCGACUCCUCCGACUCCGACUGAUCGCCGCCGGUGGGUAGCUACCGCAGGAGCGCCGGUGAGCUCAAUUUUGUUGUAAUGAUACGGUAGCGUAGGCCCUGUCUAGCAUCUCUGACCUUUAAUAUGUAUGUAUGUGGAGUGUACGAACUUAUGCGAAGAAGAACCAUCUAUGCGAGCGAGCUUCGGCGAGCUGCUGCUUAAAUUUCUCGCGCGAAACAACUUUUUUUAAAUAUUACGGAUUUGUUUGUGGUUUCUGUUCUGCCGCCGCAUUUUUCAGCCUGCAUAAGCGCCCCCGUGCGACCUGCAAACACAGUUUAUAGUUUGGCAAAAUGCGGGAUUUGCUAGAGUUGCUCGACAUGUGCUUCACAGUUUGCCUCCCUAUUCUCAAAAAGGAAAGUAACUUUUACAAAGUCUUUCUUUCUAUCACUUAUUUCAUUCAAAACUAAAGCAAAAGAAGAUAGUGUAGCUACAUUGAUGUCCAAAGUAACUUGCAUGCAGUCCGAAGCUAUCACCAUAUGUGACAAGUUGAGAUCUUGGGCUAGUGCAAGUGCUUCAUUGCGUGCUUGGGCUUCUAGACUUGGGGCAUCAACCAAACCGUCCAAGAUGAAAAAGUGAAUGAAGAUGAAAAAAAAACUGCAGCAUCAUCUUUGUUGCAAAUUUCUGCAACAUAACUCUGUUGCAAAAGGUGCGGCUGUUGGACGCCAUAUGCCAGCCAGAUCUAAUGGCUUGCGACCCGGCUGAUCUUUUAAAAAGAUCAGCCGGCAGACACGUAGCACGCCUCAUAAAUAAAAGUACCCCUCAUGCGCCAGGAAAAAUUAUAUGCUAUAUUUUUUUGAGAGAGAGGCUAUGAAGGCUAGCUUUAUUAACUUAAACAACAAUUACAUCAUUUGCCAGGAGAGAAAGGAUCCAGUAUGGAGAGUCAUCAACCCAUUUAAAAGAAAGUUUAUUAAACAGUUUUGUUAGAACUCAUCUAGAUGAGAUAUAAUUUGGUCUCAUUCACCUUUUAUAGUCAUUGGAUGCUAUAAUAUGGGGAGUACCUAGAACUCAUCUAGAUGAGACAUAAUUUGGUCUCAUUCACUUUGAAAACAAGAACAGAUACAAUCCACGUCAGCAUACACGCAUCUUAUAGCAUCACAUCCAACGGCUAUAAAAGGUGAAUGAGACCAAAUUAUAUCUCAUCUAGAUGAGUUCUAGCAAAACUGUAUAAUAUGCGUGUGUGCUGGCGUGGGUUGUAUCUGUUCUUAUUUUUAAAGUGAAUGAGACCAAACUAUAUCUCAUCUAGAUGAGUUCUAGAUACUCCCUUAAACUUUAUUAAAAUAACUAACUAUAGCUGCUAGUUAUUAUCAUGAGCAAUUUUAACAUGGUGCCUCUUAGGCCCUCUUUUCACAUAACAUAGUUAGUAUCGCUUUAUUGCGAAGUGGUGGAACACGUUACAUACCAUGAACACCACAGUGGCGAUACAAUGAACUCGCCUACGUGGAUCACCUCGAGAAGCAAGCAAAAAAAAAACACCUAUAUAAUCCUUUUCCUAAACACAACCAUAAAAGGUUUAUCACUUACAGUCAGCCAUGUCUUAUCCUUAUAAACAUGCAAACCUAGGUCUCUGCAUGGCCCCUUGUCAACACAUGAAACUAUCUUAUAUCCCGAGAGAUCCGUGCCAUGCUUCUCAACCCGGAACACCCCAAAAUGAUCUUAGGCCUUCUUCACUGCCGGCGGCCACAUGUUUAGGCUCUCCUGAUGACAACUCCGGCACCUGUUCUGUAAGGUGCCAAUCUAGCCUUUCAGAGCAAAAGCUUCUCAAGUCAUGGAACUCGAUCCAUAUGUCACUCGACAAGCGGAUCGGCUCACUGGCUGAAGCGUGUUCUGGUAGCGGCGUGAAUCGCAGGGGUGUGCCGAAGAGAGCCUUGCUGCGCUCCUCAACCACAAAAUGUAGGCACCGUAGACCAGUUGGGACGGCUUUGAGGCCGCCACCGCUCGCAGGUUUAGCUGGGAGGAUGUAGUAAUUUGACUUGCUAUUUAGCUCGUUGCCUUCCGUGUCAUAGACCAGUUGGGUGGCGUUGUUGGCAGAGCAAGGCAGGGUGGCGAUGGCGAGGAGAUGGAGGAGGAGGGACAACAUAUUCAAGGAGCAACUCCUUCGUAUGUUGCAAGUGCUAGUUUCCUUGGUUUGAGGCAUCUCCAUCUUGAGCUGUCAUUGCAAAUAACAUGAUGUAAGAACGAUAGCACUAGCACCACAGGCAAGAAAAUUUGAGUAGGACACCGACAGUUAGGACAGAGCAGUAUGCCAUCUAGUUUUUCGAAUGAGCAUCUUCAAAGCACCAAGUUUAGUCUGCAUAAGAUUAGUAUGUUCUUCAUACUGUAUGCAGAAUACAGCACAUUCUUGACUCGUGCCAGAAGCAUAAGUUUAAUUUGCAAUACAAUGAACUCGAGCACAGAUCAACACCAGAAACAAGCAAAAACAAAAUAAACACCUAUAACCUCUCUUUCCUGAAGACAACCAUAAAAGGCUUAUUGCUCACGGUCAGCCACGUCUUGUCCUUAGUAGCAUGCAAACCUAAAUCUUUGCAUGGCCCCUUGUCAACACAUGAAACUAUCUUAUAUCCCGAGAGACCUGUGCCAUGCCUCUCAACCCGGAACACCGCAAACGAUCUUAG
rnacentral:lncRNA from 1 species